AAUAUUGCGCAAUGGAUGGAACUCUGACGCAGUGACGCCGCGUGAUCGAUGAAUUUCUUCGGUUCGUAAAGCUCUGUCCUUGGGGAAGAAGAUCUUCGGAUUUGACGGUCCCCAAGGAGGAAGCCCCGGCCAUCUACGUGCCGGCAGCCGCGGUAAUACGUAGGGGGCAAGCGUUGUCCGGAAUUAUUGGGCGUAACGGGUGCGUAGGCGGCCUUUUAAGUCAGAUGUGAAAGGCCACGGCUUAACCGUGGGGUUGCAUUUGAAACUGGAGGGCUUGAGUAUCGGAGAGGGUAGUGGAAUUCCCAGUGUAGCGGUGGAAUGCGUAGAUAUUGGGAGGAACACCAGUGGCGAAGGCGACUACCUGGACGAAAACUGACGCUGAUGCACGAAAGCUAGGGGAGCAAACA
rnacentral:rRNA from 1 species